GUAGAAGACAACUAGAUUCAUAAGCUCAAAUCAAAAUGGUACCUUUGAAGAGGUACUUGGAGAUCUCACGGCGGUUAGUCUCUGAUAUGAUCUGCAAAUACGAGAAACAAGAUUAGCUUUUUUAUAUACAGUUUGAGUAUACUCAGCAUUUUGAAAUCAGUAUUUGAUUCACGUAAGGAGUGAUUUAGGGUUUAGAGAUGUUACCAUGAUUGCGAUGAGAUUGAAGAAGGAGGCGAUAGAGAAGGUGACUGCGUUUGUAUGUGUUUUGCUUUAACUUCUUCUCCUAACGC
rnacentral:sRNA from 1 species